GACGAACGCUGGCGGCGUGCCUAAUACAUGCAAGUAGAACGCACAGUUUAUACCGUAGCUUGCUACACCAUAGACUGUGAGUUGCGAACGGGUGAGUAACGCGUAGGUAACCUGCCUGGUAGCGGGGGAUAACUAUUGGAAACGAUAGCUAAUACCGCAUAAUAUUGAUUAUUGCAUGAUAAUUGAUUGAAAGAUGCUAUUGCAUCACUACCAGAUGGACCUGCGUUGUAUUAGCUAGUAGGUGAGGUAACGGCUCACCUAGGCGACGAUACAUAGCCGACCUGAGAGGGUGAUCGGCCACACUGGGACUGAGACACGGCCCAGACUCCUACGGGAGGCAGCAGUAGGGAAUCUUCGGCAAUGGACGAAAGUCUGACCGAGCAACGCCGCGUGAGUGAAGAAGGUUUUCGGAUCGUAAAGCUCUGUUGUAAGAGAAGAACGGGUGUGAGAGUGGAAAGUUCACACUGUGACGGUAUCUUACCAGAAAGGGACGGCUAAGUACGUG
rnacentral:rRNA from 1 species